rnacentral:rRNA from 1 species
AGUGAACGCUGGCGGUAGGCCUAACACAUGCAAGUCGAACGGCAGCACAGUAAGAGCUUGCUCUUACGGGUGGCGAGUGGCGGACGGGUGAGGAAUACAUCGGAAUCUACUUUUUCGUGGGGGAGAACGUAGGGAAACUUACGCUAAUACCGCAUACGACCUACGGGUGAAAGCAGGGGAUCUUCGGACCUUGCGCGAUUGAAUGAGCCGAUGUCGGAUUAGCUAGUUGGCGGGGUAAAGGCCCACCAAGGCGACGAUCCGUAGCUGGUCUGAGAGGAUGAUCAGCCACACUGGAACUGAGACACGGUCCAGACUCCUACGGGAGGCAGCAGUGGGGAAUAUUGGACAAUGGGCGCAAGCCUGAUCCAGCCAUACCGCGUGGGUGCAGAAGGCCUUCGGGUUGUAAAGCCCUUUUGUUGGGAAAGAAAAGCAGCAGGUUAAUACCCCGCUGUUCUGACGGUACCCAAAGAAUAAGCACCGGCUAACUUCGUG